GGGCCCGUCGUCUAGCCUGGUUAGGACGCCGCCCUGACGCGGCGGAGGUCCGGGGUUCAAAUCCCCGCGGGCCCACCA
rnacentral:tRNA from 3 species